rnacentral:tRNA from 1 species
GGGGGUGUGGUUUAGUGGUAUAAUUCCUCUUUAGCAUGAAUUAAGCUCGCGUAGAGGCGGUCCGGCGUUCGAUUCGCCGCUCCUCCA